CAUAAAAGCAACACGAUGAAGGGUUUUUCUUAUUGUCCGAAUUGCGGUUUCCGCAUGAAGCUGAUCACGUACGAGCCGCCGAAUCGCUGGGAAAAAGGACGUGGUCAACGUCGGUACGGAUUGCUUCGAUCGAAACCGGUUUCAGCAGCACCGUCUGCUGCCUUUGCUUAUCCUCCGAAGCCAGCGCCCGGAGUUAAUUAAAUGUUAAGAUCAGGAAUCAAUAAUGUAAGACGUUAGGAGUGGAAGUAAAUGUUUUUGUUUCGUUGACAUGUGAAAAUGGGUUUUUGGAAUCUUUGCCAGCUGCCAUGCAGCGAUGAGCAAGGAUAAAAACCAGGCA